CGCUGGCGGUGCGCCUUAUGCAUGCAAGUCGAGCGAAGCUUUUCAGUAGUUUACUACAGAAAAUGACUGAGCGGCGAACGGGUGAGUAACGCGUGAGCAAUCUACCUUAGUUACAGGGAUAGCCCGAGGAAACUCGGAUUAAUACCUGAUAUUCUUUAUAUUUCGCAUGAAAUCAAAAGGAAAGGUCAGCCGAACUAAGAUGAGCUCGCGUUCUAUCAGCUAGUUGGUGAGGUAAAAGCUCACCAAGGCAACGACGGAUAGCUGGUCUGAGAGGACGAUCAGCCACACUGGGACUGAGACACGGCCCAGACUCCUACGGGAGGCUGCAGCAGGGAAUAUUGCGCAAUGAGCGAAAGCUUGACGCAGCGACACCGCGUGUGGGAUGACGGAUCUAGGUUUGUAAACCACUUUCAGGAGGGAAGAAAAUGACGGUACCUCCACAAGAAGCCCCGGCCAACUACGUGCCAGCAGCCGCGGUAAUACGUAGGGGGCGAGCGUUGUCCGGAUUUAUUGGGCGUAAAGAGCUCGUAGGCGGUUCAACAAGUCGGUCGUAAAAGUUCAGGGCUCAACCCUGAAAUGUCGAUCGAUACUGUUGUGACUAGGAUACGGUAGAGGUGAGUGGAAUUCCGAGUGUAGCGGUGAAAUGCGUAGAUAUUCGGAGGAACACCAAUUGCGAAGGCAGCUCACUGGGCCGCUAUCGACGCUGAGGAGCGAAAGCUAGGGGAGCAAACAGGAUUAGAUACCCUGGUAGUCCUAGCUGUAAACGAUGGAUACUAGACGUAGGAACUGGAUUGACGGUUUCUGUGUCGUAGCUAACGCGUUAAGUAUCCCGCC
rnacentral:rRNA from 1 species